rnacentral:rRNA from 1 species
GGGGAAUCUUGGACAAUGGGGGAAACCCUGAUCCAGCCAUGCCGCGUGAGUGAUGACGGCCUUAGGGUUGUAAAGCUCUUUCGACGGGGACGAUAAUGACGGUACCCGUAGAAGAAGCCCCGGCUAACUCCGUGCCAGCAGCCGCGGUAAUACGGAGGGGGCUAGCGUUGUUCGGAAUUACUGGGCGUAAAGCGCACGUAGGCGGCUUGGUAAGUUGGGGGUGAAAUCCCAGGGCUCAACCCUGGAAGUGCCUUCAAAACUGCUUGGCUCGAGUUCGGAAGAGGUGAGUGGAAUUCCCAGUGUAGAGGUGAAAUUCGUAGAGAUUGGGAAGAACACCAGUGGCGAAGGCGGCUCACUGGUCCGAUACUGACGCUGAGGUGCGAAAGCGUGGGGAGCAAAC